UGUUGAGGAAGAUAAUGACGGUACUCAACAAGGAAGUGACGGCUAACUACGUGCCAGCAGCCGCGGUAAAACGUAGGUCACAAGCGUUGUCCGGAAUUACUGGGUGUAAAGGGAGCGCAGGCGGGAAGACAAGUUGGAAGUGAAAUCCAUGGGCUCAACCCAUGAACUGCUUUCAAAACUGUUUUUCUUGAGUAGUGCAGAGGUAGGCGGAAUUCCCGGUGUAGCGGUGGAAUGCGUAGAUAUCGGGAGGAACACCAGUGGCGAAGGCGGCCUACUGGGCACCAACUGACGCUGAGGCUCGAAAGUGUGGGUAGCAAACAGGAUUAGAUACCCUGGUAGUCCACACUGUAAACGAUGAUUACUAGGUGUUGGAGGAUUGACCCCUUCAGUGCCGCAGUUAACACAAUAAGUAAUCCACCUGGGGAGUACGACCGCAAGGUUGAAACUCAAAGGAAUUGACGGGGGCCCGCACAAGCAGUGGAGUAUGUGGUUUAAUUCGACGCAACGCGAAGAACCUUACCAAGUCUUGACAUCCUGCGACGCACAUAGAAAUAUGUGUUUCCUUCGGGACGCAGAGACAGGUGGUGCAUGGUUGUCGUCAGCUCGUGUCGUGAGAUGUUGGGUUAAGUCCCGCAACGAGCGCAACCCUUAUGGUCAGUUACUACGCAAGAGGACUCUGGCCAGA
rnacentral:rRNA from 1 species